rnacentral:rRNA from 1 species
AGAGCGAACGCUGGCGGCAGGCCUAAUACAUGCAAGUCGAACGGAUCCUUCGGGAUUAGUGGCGGACGGGUGAGUAACACGUGGGAACGUGCCCUUUGGUUCGGAACAACUCAGGGAAACUUGAGCUAAUACCGGAUGUGCCCUUCGGGGGAAAGAUUUAUCGCCAUUGGAGCGGCCCGCGUCUGAUUAGCUAGUUGGUGAGGUAAAGGCUCACCAAGGCGACGAUCAGUAGCUGGUCUGAGAGGAUGAUCAGCCACACUGGGACUGAGACACGGCCCAGACUCCUACGGGAGGCAGCAGUAGGGAAUCUUGCGCAAUGGGCGAAAGCCUGACGCAGCCAUGCCGCGUGAAUGAUGAAGGUCUUAGGAUUGUAAAAUUCUUUCAGCGGGGACGAUAAUGACGGUACCCGCAGAAGAAGCCCCGGCUAACUUCGUGCCAGCAGCCGC